GUCUUUUGGUUAUUUAUAAAGGUGUAUUUAUUUUAAAUGGGUUAAAAGGGGGGUUUGUUGUUUUUUUGUUGUUAAAAAAAAAGUCUUGAGGCCUCCCGAUAAAAAGAGACCUCGAAACAUGGAGCACAAAAGGGGUGUAAGUCUAUAAGAAAAAAAGAAAAAAUCUUUUUUUUCCUAUGAUGAUCCUUCCGCAGGUUCACCUACGGAAA
rnacentral:misc_RNA from 1 species